UACGUAGGGACCAAGCGUUGUUCGGAUUUACUGGGCGUAAAGGGCGCGUAGGCGGCAAUUCAAGUCAUCUGUGAAAUCUCCGAGCUUAACUCGGAACGGUCAGAUGAUACUGCUUUGCUAGAGUGCAGAAGGGGCAACCGGAAUUCUUGGUGUAGCGGUGAAAUGCGUAGAUAUCAAGAGGAACACCGGAGGUGAAGACGGGUUGCUGGGCUGACACUGACGCUGAGGCGCGAAAGCCAGGGGAGCAAACGGG
rnacentral:rRNA from 1 species